rnacentral:ncRNA from 1 species
AAGAAAACAAUGUGAAAAGAAAAGUACAUUUAGGAAGUCUUCUUAGAGAGUCUGUGCCGGUGAAAGCAGAUAAGAGUGAAUAAGUGGAAAAUGGUCUUGGAAGUGGAGUAAACGAUCUUGCUGAAGGUAAGUUUACUACGGGUUCACCCGUUACAGUGACGCAGUCUACAAGAAGAAUCUUGUGUACUGGCAGAGACAGUAUCAGUGAUGAUGCUGUAAAUUAAGGUGGUAACGCGAUAAAUUUAGUCGUCCUUAAA